GGAGGCAGCAGUGGGGAAUAUUGCACAAUGGGCGCAAGCCUGAUGCAGCCAUGCCGCGUGUAUGAAGAAGGCCUUCGGGUUGUAAAGUACUUUCAGCGGGGAGGAAGGCGACAAGGUUAAUAACCUUGUCGAUUGACGUUACCCGCAGAAGAAGCACCGGCUAACUCCGUGCCAGCAGCCGCGGUAAUACGGAGGGUGCAAGCGUUAAUCGGAAUUACUGGGC
rnacentral:rRNA from 1 species